rnacentral:rRNA from 1 species
UACGAGGGGGACAAGCGUUGUUCGGAAUUAUUGGGCGUAAAGGGCGCGUAGGCGGUGCGGUAAGUCACCUGUGAAAACUCUGGGCUCAACUCAGAGCCUGCAGGCGAAACUGCCGUGCUUGAGUGUGGGAGAGGUGCGUGGAAUUCCCGGUGUAGCGGUGAAAUGCGUGGAUAUCGGGAGGAACACCUGUGGCGAAAGCGGCGCACUGGACCACAACUGACGCUGAGGCGCGAAAGCGAGGGGAGCAAACAGG